rnacentral:rRNA from 1 species
GCGAAUGCUGACAUGAGUAACGACAAUGCGAGUGAAAAACUCGCACGCCGGAAGACCAAGGGUUCCUGCGCAACGCUAAUCGGCGCAGGGUGAGUCGGCCCCUAAGGUGAGACCGAAAGGUGUAAUCGAUGGGAGACGGGUUAAUAUUCCCGUACCUUGAAUCACUGCGAUGGAGAGACGGAGAAGGCUAGGUAAGCCGGGCGACGGUCGUCCCGGUUUAAGCGUGUAGGGAGGGGACUUAGGCAAAUCCGGGUCCUCAAUUCUGAGACGUGAUGACGACUGCCCAUGUGGCGGGAAGUUAUUGAUGCCAUGCUUCCAGGAAAAUCUUCUAAGCUUCAGGUGAUUUGAGACCGUACCCCAAACCGACACAGGUUGUUAGGUAGAGAAUACUAAGGCG